rnacentral:rRNA from 1 species
GACGAACGCUGGCGGCGUGCUUAACACAUGCAAGUCGAACGGAAAGUCCUCUUUUGGGGGGUACUCUAGUGGCGAACGGGUGAGUAACACGUGAGUAACCUGCCCUUGACUUUGGGAUAACUUCAGGAAACUGCGUCUAAUACCGGAUAGGAGCUCCUGCUGCAUGUUGUGGGUUGGAAAGUUUCGGCGCUUGGGGAUCGACUCUCGGCUUAUCAGCUUGUUUGUGGGGUAGUGGCUUACCAAGGCUUUGACGGGUAGACGGCCAGAGAGAGUGAAAAGCAAGAAAGGGAAAGAGACACGGCCCAGAGUCGUACGGGGGGCAACAGUGAGAAACAUUGAACAAUGGAUGGAAGACUGAUGAAGAAAAGCGCGGUGAGGGAUGACAGAAUUAGGGUAGGAAACCGGUUGCGUAGAUGGAGAAGAAGUGUGUGAAGGUAGUAGCUAACGAAGCACAGGCUAACUACGUG